CCUCACCAGCACCAGCCUCCUUACAGGCAGCUGCCUGAGCACGCGUUUCUGAGGGGAUUCCAUUCGACAAGCUUUUGACGAGUCCUGCAAAGCUCCUUUUUAUUAAUCGGCCACGAAGGGCUUUCCUCUGUCAGGCUGCAAAGCAAGCGCCGGCUGCCUGUGCUGUUUAUAAACACAGACAGAUGUCUUUGUACGUGCCUUUAACCGGCUUGUUCAGGUAACCUGCUGGGGUCUGAUAGGCUAAGCCCCCCUUUUGCUAGAGAGAGAGAGAGAGAGCUCGAACGAGCAUACUUUUGUACGAAAGCCAUUGCAGCCCGCGGAAUCAGUGGCAUGACAGGACUACCCCCCUGUUGUGCUCUACAUGUUGGCCUGGCAGGCUGAGGUGCAUGGAGGUCCCUGGAAUUAGACUGAAUGAACUCUGAGUAGCUCAGGCAGACCCAGAGUAGGGAUGAAGGAGGAGAAGACUGCACCUUCCGUUUCAGUGUCUCAAAGUGCUUUACAAAUAUUAAUGGAUGAAGCCUCACAACAUCCCAGCGUGUUAUUUGUCGGUGAACACUCUGAAGGGGUAGGCUAAUCAGCGACCCAUAUACAUCAGCUGCAAUCCUAAUGCCAAAGGAGUCAUUUAAUAUACCGAAGAAAAAGUCACAGAGUGUAUAACUUCUGAAAGUGUUCAACUAAACAGGACUCUGGUAGGACCCUGCUAGACACUUCAUUCAAACGUAUCCUACAGAGAUGAUACAAGGAUCUGUAGGAGGAGACAAUACAUUUGUAUUCAUUGUAACCAAUGUUAAUGGUGUAGAAAACACUGUGGUCUAACUUGGACAGACUAGUAAAUACAGCUAUGCUAUGCUAAGAGACAUAUGAGAAAUGGAAAGAGUCAUGGACAAUUUGCAUUGACAACGGGAUUUAUUUCAAGCUAAAAUCUAUUUACAAAUUAUUGGGUAAUAGGCCUUAGGUACUGGAAAAUUGUGGAGACUCUCUUGCCAUUACCCAUUUAUUGGUGUUAGGCUAGAAAAUAUUUUGUCAAAUUGUCAUCGUUGUUAGGUACAUUUACAAGAAGAAAGGGAGUGAAAAAUUGAAUGUGGUUUUUGAGUUUAUUUCUCCUUUGCUUUUCCAAACAUCUUCCACAGGCAUAUUUUCCACUGCUUUAAAAUAAUAAGGAUAAUAAAAGGAAUAACAAGGACAAUAGUUAGGAUAAUAAAAUAUAUUAAACAAAAUAAAGCACUGCCUACAUGCUGUCUUUACCUCCACGUUCAAAUGUACUGCUGAGACUGAGAGUCGCAGUGAGUGCAGAUCAUUUGGCAAUGAAAUCCAUCCAGAAAAACGUUGUCUCUGCAAGCGCUGCAGCUCUGGGCCUUACGUGCCUUCUCUGUGCGAGUCUGUCUCCCUCCAGGCUGCUUCAGACAAAUUCCCUUAUUUUGCUCCUUUGCUUUGUUCCUUGAUUCUUCUCUUAUGUUGUCCCUUGUUUUGGGCCUGAUACAGAGCCCUUUAAAGCCUAUGGAAAUACUCCCACUGCCUUCCAUAGGUUUUGGCUCAGACCCUUUCAUGAGAAAGAUCUGGCAAGUAUGCUGUGGGGAGCUGCAUAAUGGCUGAUGCAUGUUCUCUUCAAGCUUAAUGCACUGACAUGGAGCAUUGCAGGCAUAAAGUAAAAAGUGUUGGGUUAUGUCCAUUUUGUAUGUUUUGUAUAAUUUCAGGAUCCCAUAUUGAUGAUCAAAAUGGAGUUUGUGCCCAUGUGAUCCAGCUGAUCACAGUUUCCCCGCCUUUUAUUUCUCCUCAGAAGUGGUAAACAACUUCUGAAUAGAACUGGUUUUUACCGCCUUUUCCCAGAAGGGGUCUUCUCCUCCUCCUACGGGGUUUCCCGGGCCAGAUUAUAUAAGUCUGCCCCGAGCACUACUCAGCUGCUGUCCAUGACAGUAAGGGUCAGACUUGCACUCACCUACCCAUCCUAUCAGUAGAGGGGGGCUAGGGUUUUCCUUCCACAUCUCUGCUUCUACUUUGUCAUCACCUGCAAGGAGAAGAGAAGGACAGACAGCCACAUUCCACUUACCAUCAUCCACCUUCAGCUGCUGUCCCCCAAUGUACCAUCUACUCUUCUACAGACCCAGAGGAACAUCAAGGGACUCCCUGGAGCUCCUCUCUAAUGGCUUUCAACUAGCCGGAGGAUUGAGGUCCCAGGCAACAAUCGACACUUGAUCUAUAGAAGGAGGUUUCUGUUAAGGGGUUUACUUACCUGUAUAUAGGGUUUAUUUUGGGAAAAUUAUGUAUUGCAUAAUUUUACUGUUUACCCCCUCCUUUUCUUUGGUCCAUUCAUUAUACACCAAUCCCUCAAUACACUCCAU